rnacentral:rRNA from 1 species
GAUGAACGCUGGCGGCGUGCCUAAUACAUGCAAGUCGAGCGAACAGACGAGGAGCUUGCUCCUUUGACGUUAGCGGCGGACGGGUGAGUAACACGUGGGUAACCUACCUAUAAGACUGGGAUAACUUCGGGAAACCGGAGCUAAUACCGGAUAAUAUUUCGAACCGCAUGGUUCGAUAGUGAAAGAUGGCUUUGCUAUCACUUAUAGAUGGACCUGCGCCGUAUUAGCUAGUUGGUAAGGUAACGGCUUACCAAGGCAACGAUACGUAGCCGACCUGAGAGGGUGAUCGGCCUCACUGGAACUGAGACACGGUCCAGACUCCUACGGGAGGCAGCAGUAGGGAAUCUUCCGCAAUGGGCGAAAGCCUGACGGAGCAACGCCGCGUGAGUGAUGAAGGUCUUCGGAUCGUAAAACUCUGUUAUUAGGGAAGAACAAACGUGUAAGUAACUGUGCACGUCUUGACGGUACCUAAUCAGAAAGCCACGGCUAACUACGUG